CCCGCCGGCGACCGGCGCACGGGUGAGUAACACGUAUGAAACCUGCCCGUAGCAGGGGGAUAAGCGGAAGAAAUUCCGUCUAAUACCGCGUAACAACCCAUGGAGGCAUCUCUGUGGGGUUUAAAGGAAGCGAUUCCGGCUACGGAUGGUCAUGCGUCGCAUUAGCUUGUUGGCGGGGUAACGGCCCACCAAGGCGACGAUGCGUAGGGGUUCUGAGAGGAAGGUCCCCCACACUGGUACUGAGACACGGACCAGACUCCUACGGGAGGCAGCAG
rnacentral:rRNA from 1 species